rnacentral:lncRNA from 1 species
UAUUUUACAAUUAAAAUCAUAACAUAACCAAAUAAGAAGAUGAAACUAUAGCACAAAUAUAUAAUCUAAACCAAAAACCUCCACAAUCACAGAGAAGCAAAAAUGCCAUAGUAAUACAAUAAAGGCCUGGAACUGAAAGUCAAGAACGAAGACUAACUUACCUCACCUUACCAUAGAUUGUCUUGACUAGAACAAGCAGAUAUCAUAAAAAGGGUAGAAAGAUAAAUUUGAGACAUGGGAUCAAUCACCAAUGCAAAAAACCAAGAAAACAGAUUAUAGGAAGAAUAACACCUGAAGGCCAAGGUCACCACGAAGGAGGAAGACAUGUGCCUAAAGCACCGGAAGCACAACCACCAGCUAAAAGGUAAGAAGCACCGUAUAAACUAAAUAACCACAGAGAAGCACUAGUAGAAAUAUUGGCUAUAGCUACGACAUAGCUACGAAAUUUUCGUAGCAAAUUCUAAAAAGCUAUGAAAAAGCUACGUAAUCAAAAACGCAGCUUUUCGUGUGUAAAUCGUAGCAAAAAAAGCUACGAAAUUGCUACGGAAAAAACGUAGCAAGAUAUAGCUAUGAUUUUGCUACGAAGAUUUCGUGGCAAAAUAGAUACGAAACAAACCGUAGCAAAAAUCGUGACUAACUACAAAAAAAUAUCUUUUAGCUACGAUUUUUGCCACUAAAAAAUUCAUAGCUAUUUAAAACCCUAUACCCUAAACAUGUUUUUAACCCCAUAAACUCUAAAAGUAAAUCUUAAAUUCUAAUCCUCAUAUUAUAUCUCAAAAUCGUAAACCUAAACUCAAAUUUAAUUACUUUAAAAAUCUAAUAUCAAUUUUUAAAUCAAAACUCAAAACUCUAAACUCUAUAUAUUACUCUAUAUUCCAAAUCAUGAAUCUAAACACUAAAUAUACUUUUUCAAAGUUAAACAACAAAUCUAAAACUAAAACUCAAAAGUUAAUCUUUUUAAAAAAAAAAUUAAUUCCAAAAUUUAAAUCUAAACUUCAAACACUACACUCCAAACCUUACACUCUAACCCUAAACCUUAUACCCCAAAUCAUAAAACCCAAAUACUAAUUUUAACAUUUCAAAUUUAAACAUCAAAACUUAAACAUAAA